AUUGAACGCUGGCGGCAUGCCUUACACAUGCAAGUCGAAUGGUAACGCGGGGCAACCUGGCGACGAGUGGCGAACGGGUGAGUAAUACAUCGGAACGUGCCCAGUAGUGGGGGAUAGCCCGGCGAAAGCCGGAUUAAUACCGCAUACAACCUACGGGUGAAAGCGGGGGAUCGCAAGACCUCGCGCUAUUGGAGCGGCCGAUGUCAGAUUAGCUAGUUGGUGGGGUAAAGGCCUACCAAGGCGACGAUCUGUAGCUGGUCUGAGAGGACGACCAGCCACACUGGGACUGAGACACGGCCCAGACUCCUACGGGAGGCAGCAGUGGGGAAUUUUGGACAAUGGGGGCAACCCUGAUCCAGCCAUGCCGCGUGCGGGAAGAAGGCCCUCGGGUUGUAAACUGCUUUUGUACAGAACGAAAAGGUUUCUACUAAUACUAGGAGCUCAUGACGGUACUGUAAGAAUAAGCACCGGCUAACUACGUGCCAGCCGCCGCCGUAA
rnacentral:rRNA from 1 species